rnacentral:rRNA from 1 species
GACGAACGCUGGCGGCGUGCUUAACACAUGCAAGUCGAACGGAAAGGCCCUGAUUUUGUGGGGUGCUCGAGUGGCGAACGGGUGAGUAACACGCGAGUAAAAUGCACUUGAAAUUGGGAUAACUUCAGGAAACUGGGGCUAAUACAGGAUAGGAGCUCCUGAAGCAUGGUGGGGGUUGGAAAGUUUCGGCGGUUGGGGAUGGACUCGCGGCUUAUCAGCUUGUUGGUGGGGUAGUGGCUUACCAAGGCUUUGACGGGUAGCCGGCCUGAGAGGGUGACCGGCCACAUUGGGACUGAGAUACGGCCCAGACUCCUACGGGAGGCAGCAGUGGGGAAUAUUGCACAAUGGGCGGAAGCCUGAUGCAGCAACGCCGCGUGCGGGAUGACGUCCUUCGGGUUGUAAACCGCUUUCGCCUGUGACGAAGCGUGAUUGACGGUAAUGGGUAAAGAAGCACCGGCUAACUACGUG